GCAGUGAGAAACCUAACCUAACAUCCCGUAACUCGGGAUCCUAACCUGAUUAAUAACGAAACCCUAAUUCAUCUGCCUGAACCAGCACAUCCUGAGACGUGCUUUUCUGCAGGGGCUCAAUCCUAAUUCGGUUUCUCGGUGGAGAGAAGCUCCAGUUAUCGACAGCGGACUCCGGCAGGAAGAGGGGUCCAGCGCUCCGAUCAGCAUGUCAGCGAAGUCUAAAUAUACCCUCAGCAGAGACCACUUUCACAAAGAGCUGGGUGAGUCUGGUAGACCAGUUACUGCUGGUACCAUCUCCCAGGAGGUACAGCGUGACCAAUGAUGAGUGAAGCUCCUGACCAGGUGCUACCAAGACUGCACGGGCCAGGGAGUCCUUGUCCCAUAGUGCACUGGGUGUGUCCCAUAGCGCACUGGACCCAGACACUGGCACAGCGGUCUAAGCAUCAUUCCUCCAGUGGGCACUGACACUAAUGAGCUAGCAGUCUGAAAAAACAGCAGAAGACUCUUUGAAGACAUUCUUUAUUCCAGUGCAGAAUCCUCCAUCUGUUCCUCGAAUCGCAACACUCCGUGCAAGCAGUUAUCGGAGUCCUGGGUCAGUGAUGUGAAUCCCUGGCCACUCUUUACAGCCUCUGGAUGCUCAAAUCUCUCGGUCGCCUGUGCCAAAACCAUAGGGAAGUCUGCUCUGGCCCAUGUUCACACAUUUGAUGGACAAUUCUGCCAGUUUUCCGACAGGAGGAAAAACAAUCAGCCCCAGUAAGACUUAUGAGUAAGUGUCAGUUAUGGAGAGUUUGGUUUUGAUUUCAAGCACACCUGUCCAUCUCUCUUCAGCCCUGCCUGAGGCCUGCGCUGGCAC